rnacentral:tRNA from 2 species
GGCCCGAUGGUCUAGUAGUAUGAUUCUCGCUUAGGGUGCGAGAGGUCCCGGGUUCAAUUCCCGGUCGGGCCC